rnacentral:rRNA from 1 species
UACGUAGGGUGCAAGCGUUACUCGGAAUUACUGGGCGUAAAGCGUGCGCAGGCGGUUCGCUAAGACCGAUGUGAAAUCCCCGGGCUUAACCUGGGAACUGCAUUGGUGACUGGCGGGCUAGAGUAUGGCAGAGGGGGGUAGAAUUCCACGUGUAGCAGUGAAAUGCGUAGAGAUGUGGAGGAAUACCGAUGGCGAAGGCAGCCCCCUGGGCCAAUACUGACGCUCAUGCACGAAAGCGUGGGGAGCAAACAGG